UACGUAGGGGGCUAGCGUUGUCCGGAUUUAUUGGGCGUAAAGAGCGUGUAGGCGGCCAGGUAGGUCUGCUGUGAAAACUCGAGGCUCAACCUCGAGACGUCGGCGGAAACCAGCUGGCUAGAGUCCGGAAGAGGAGAGUGGAAUUCCUGGUGUAGCGGUGAAAUGCGCAGAUAUCAGGAGGAACACCGGUGGCGAAGGCGGAUCUCUGGGCCAUUACUGACGCUGAGGUGCGAAAGCGUGGGGAGCAAACAGG
rnacentral:rRNA from 1 species